UACGUAGGGGCCUAGCGUUGUCCGGAUUUAUUGGGCGUAAAGAGCUCGUAGGCGGUUCGGUAAGUCAGGUGUGAAAUCUCCACGCUCAACGUGGAGGCGCCACCUGAAACUGCCGUGACUCGAGUCCGGUAGGGGAGUGUGGAAUUCCUGGUGUAGCGGUGAAAUGCGCAGAUAUCGGGAGGAACACCAGAGGCGAAGGCGGCGAACUGGACAGUAACUGACACUCAACUGCGAAAGCGUGGGGAGCAAACAGG
rnacentral:rRNA from 1 species